rnacentral:rRNA from 1 species
UACAGGGGGUGCAAGCGUUGCUCGGAAUCACUGGGCGUAAAGCGAGCGCAGGCGGCCGAUUAGUCAGAGGUGAAAGCCCGGGGCUCAACCCCGGAAUGGCCUUUGAAACUGGUAGGCUUGAAUGCAGGAGAGGGUCGCGGGAAUUCUUGGUGUAGAGGUGAAAUUCGUAGAUAUCAGGAAGAACACCAGUGGCGAAAGCGGCGCCUGGCCUGACAUUGACGCUCAUGCUCGAGAGCGUGGGGAGCAAACAGG